UUGUUCCCUUACCGCUAGAAAAAUUGUCCAAAAAUUUUGAAUUCAGUUCUACGUAAUGAACAUUUAAAUGACAUAUAGUUUACAAGUGGGAACAAAUCUAAUGUACAGGUAGCUAAACAAGGUGUAUAGAUGUGAACAAAUGUAAUGUGAAACCAGUGUACACUACACUAAACUAAUUGUAAACAUGUUUACUCUACACGGCGUUUGGUGUGAACACGGCCUAAUUUGUACAUGUUUAUUUUUA
rnacentral:lncRNA from 1 species